UACGGAGGGGGUUAGCGUUGUUCGGAAUGACUGGGCGUAAAAGCGCGCGUAGGCGGAUCAGGAAGUUGGGGGUGAAAUCCCGGGGCUCACCCCGGAAUGGCCUUCAAAAACUCCUGGUCUUGAGUUCGAGAGAGGUGAGUGGAAUUCCGAGUGUAGAGGUGAAAUUCGUAGAUAUUCGGAGGAACACCAGUGGCGAAGGCGGCUCACUGGCUCGACACUGACGCUGAGGUGGCGAAAGGCGUGGGGAGCAAACAGGAUU
rnacentral:rRNA from 1 species